rnacentral:tRNA from 1 species
CGCGGGGUGGAGCAGCUCGGUAGCUCGUCGUGCUCAUAACCCGAAGGUCGCAGGUUCAAAUCCUGCCCCCGCCACCA